rnacentral:lncRNA from 1 species
AGUCGCCCUCCGUCGUGGCCUGGCGUGGAUUCCGAGCGUUGGUGUCUGGCGGUUUCCGACCGUUGGUGUCUGGCACGCGCCACCCCGAUGUACCAGACAAGAAGACAAGAAAAUGAUUUGAGGACAGCUUCAAUCGCGGUGUGAAGAAGAAAGCAACAAAACGACCACUGAAAACAAUGCCGGUGGCAAAACAUCCAAAGAAAGGGUCCCAAGUGGUACAUCGUCAUAGCUGGAAACAGUCAGAGCCACCAGCCAAUGAUCUUUUCAAUGCUGCGAAAGCUGCCAAAAGUGACAUGCAGUGUGGCCAUGAGGUCUGCCGGAAGUGACUUGUUGGUGUUAUCUCCUGAGUUAAAAUGUGAAGGGAUUUUUUUUUUUCAGAUUACUGAGAGUCUUCAGUUACUAGUUUGUCUUUCCUAGAUCCAGACACGGGGACUGCAGAGAAAGGCUGUGUGCAUCCGCUGUCUACUCCACUGUCUCCUCUGCAGAGGCGGAUUUCCCUGACUGAAGACCAUGUUGCAGGCCCACAGCUGCCUACAGAACCGUCCCAAAAUAUGGCAAAGAAACCUAUUCUGAGCGAUAGGGUCUCACCAUGUUGCCCAGGCUGGUCUUGAACUCCUGGACUCAUCCUAAAGUGCUGGCCUCUCAUUCCCUGUCUGUGCACACCUCACGGCAAGGGCCAGCCUGUUUCCUCCCGGUCACCUCCAAAUCUUGCUGCUUUUAAUUCAACUCAGAGGUAUGCACUUGAGGUAGGAGGGCAGGGGAAGUGGGGAUGGCAGGACAUGGAUGGCCCUUGAGGCAUUGGCUCUGGGUGUCAUGGGCUGUGAGAGUCAAGAAGGGCAGUGGCCUGCCUGACUUGGGUUCGAAAGGGUCACUCUGGCCACUGCGGUGAGAACUGAAACUAGCCAGGCCAAUUCUCCAUUGUUCCUGCUCUUCCAGGUAGGAGAAUAUUAGAUUAGGUCUGGAGUCAGAAGGUAGCAGGGGCUGGGGGUUGCAGGGGGAUGUUGAGAAGAAGUGGUCCUUUGGUCAGGGUGGGAAGCCAACAGGAUUUCCUGGUGCAUUGGAGGUGAAAGGGAAGAGGCGCUGGUGGUUGUGCUUUGGGCCUGAGCAGCCAGAAGCCGUUGCCAUCACCUAUGACAAGGGAGACAGCGCCUGGGGCAGAGCCCAGUAUGGGGUGCAUUCAGGGUAGAUCAGGAGGUAUGAGUGGGCAGUGGGCGAGCCAGGCU